ACUGAGGAAGCUCAACAUCUAAAAAAGUUGAUACAAGACUAUAUUGCUUCUUUCAUCAAAGUAGGAGAUAAGAUGUCAUCAGGCGGUGACGGUGAUAGACAUCACGAGCAUCUUGGAGUUAGCUAGACUAAACAGGCUAAGAAGAAGAAGUCUAGGAGACCGAUAGAUCCUGAGGAUAUUGCAGGAUCUAUUUCUUCUGCGCCAGAGCGCAUCA